rnacentral:rRNA from 1 species
CGAAUCAGUUCCAAAUUCACUUGAUUGUGAUAUUGUCCAGAGAAGGUGUUAGACCUGUUGGGAUUGAUGAAGCUUUUAUUGAUGCCUCCUAUGAGUCGGAUUGUUUGAGAAUGCAGUCCAAAUUUGGUGGUAUACUCCAUCUAAGGCUAAAUACUUGUGUGAGUCCGAUAGCAAACAAGUACCGUGAGGGAAAUUUGAAAAGAACUUUGAAGAGAGAGUUAAAUAGUACGUGAAAUCGCUUAGAGGUAAACGAGUGGAGCCGAAGCUGUUKURYGGGAUUCAGUUGAUUGUAUGUGAUGUAAUGAUUGAUGAGAUCUCACAAGGAUUCAUUCGAUUGUCACUUAUUACGUACAUUUAAUGCACUUUCUGUAUGACUUGACUGCGAUCAAUAGUGUCGUUUUUCUGUCGUGAUGGUGAAGUUGAUCACUCGUUUUACGAUUGGUUUUAUAGCUCAUUGCACGGUUAAACGGUGUAUUGGUGAAUACGAUUGAAUGUUUAUGUUUUGUCUUUGGUUAUGUUGAUUGUUUGGGAGUAAACUAAUAAUAGUUUAUUCUUUGAAUAGUCAGUGUGAUUGAUUAUAAUUCUGUUCAGUCUAAAAUCAGCAGUGUAUAUGUAGGUUACCUACUCGUCCCGUCUUGAAACACGGACCAAGGAGUUUUAUAUUAUCGCGAGUCAAAGGGCUUUACGAAACCCCAGGGCGUAAUUAAUGUAAAGGUUUGCGUUGGUAAACUGAGAUGUGACCUAGACGAUGCUCGCAAGGGCAGGAUCUUGUGCAACAUCGACCCGUCUGAAGGUGUUCGCAUCUGGGCGGAGUUUGAGCGAUAAUGUAGAGACCCGAAAGAUGGUGAACUAUGCUUGUGCAGGUUGAAGCCAGAGGAAACUCUGGUGGAGGACCGCCGCGGUUUCUGACGUGCAAAUCGAUCGUCGGACAUGAGUAUAGGGG